rnacentral:rRNA from 1 species
GGAUUAGAUACCCUGGUAGUCCACGCCGUAAACGAUGGGUACUAGGUGUCGGGGGCUUGACCUUCGGUGCCGUAGUUAACGCGUUAAGUACCCCGCCUGGGGAGUACGGUCGCAAGGCUGAAACUCAAAGAAAUUGACGGGGGCCCGCACAAGCGGUGGAGUAUGUGGUUUAAUUCGAUGCAACGCGAAGAACCUUACCCAGGCUUGACAUCCUGCGAAUGCCCAAGAAAUUAGGCAGUGCCCUUCGGGGAAUGCAGUGACAGGUGCUGCAUGGCUGUCGUCAGCUCGUGCCG